rnacentral:lncRNA from 1 species
AUUAAAUGAUGCCAAUUUUCCAGUAAGGGUAAGUUUGUCUAACUGAUAAGUAGUUAUUAUGUAAGAAGAGUCGGUAAUUUCCUGGCUUCAUAAAUACAGGUUGCCUCAUACCUUACAUCAUUAAAUAGCAGAGCUGCUCAGGUGAAGAACUUAGCUCUCAGAGUUGGUUCAACUGACUAACUUCUUUUCACUAAGCACAGGGAAAUGUGUUGAAGAACAUUGUGAAUAUUGAACAAAAUAGAAAGCAGGAACUGAGCUGACAAGUGCACUUCUCAUAAGAGCCUAACAAAUCAGAAGGAGAAAAGGAACUAUAAUGAGACACCGAAGUCAAAAGUACCAGUCUCUUUAGAAGUUCUCUGGAAGGAAAAAAAGGCACAAACUUAGACUUGGGCAGCACCACAGAACAGGUCACUAGCAGAGCCAGCAAUAUUGCUGAGUCCUCUUCAUUAUCAAGCCAGUAGACCAUCUAGGGAUUUGAAUCUGAUUCUUCUGGCACUCAAGAUCGCUGGGGUACAUGCUGCAGAGAACUUGGAGAUGACUGUCAAGCACUACAGUAACUGCUGCACUACAGUUGGAACCACCUGUGUAACAUGCAUAGCCUACCCAGCAGCAGGGUUGUUGUCCUGGAGAACUUCUGGAGAAACUGUGAUAGAAGAGGCCUAACAAAGUGUGCUUGGCACAGAGAGAAGGAAGAGUACUCUGCAUCUUACAAGUCCUUCCCCUAAGGACAUUCUCCCAGCACAACAGAAGCCAGUAUAGAGUAAGAUGGAGAGCCAUGAGCACAGUGUUGCAGCUGGUGCUUGAACUGCCUGUGGAAGUCCCUCAUGGUGAUAAAAAGGAAUGAGUGACCCUUGUUGCAAGUCUGGGUAUUUUGGACUGGGACUGGAAGAGCAAACGUGAGCCUAUGGAAAACCAGGUAAGAGAACAGGGGCGGGGAGAUACAAACAUUGAGGGUGCAAAAAUGUGAAGUAGCCCAAAAAUGGUUUUGAGCUUUCCUGAGGAUGUAUAUGAAACUCCUAAUGAGAUAUAUGGGAGCCUUUCCUUUGCAGGUGUAGUAGGAUUAUUCCUGAUCAGAGAGAAACAAGUAAGAGUAACAAAAAUAGCUUUGUCAGUAUAAUUGUUUACCGUAAGGAUGUUUGCUGAUUCUGCUACAGCAGACACAUCAUGUCUUUUUACGCUGACCAACAGGACUAGCAAAAACGUAUGGUUUUAACUUUAGUAACUACUGCCACCAGGCAAGGGACAGCAAUGAACCCUGACAUCUCCUAAGGUAAGCACAUUGCGAGUCUUCGUAGGAAUCUGUUGCUAAUGCUUCACUGUGCAGAAACACCAUACAGCAGGGAAUUUGGGAUGUUGUAUGUCUAUGCAGGACACUUGUAUUUGGAACCAGAUAAAAGACUGUAGUUUUCUUUCAUGUGUGGUGUGGGUGUAUUUUUUUUGUUUGUUUGUUUUCCAUCUGCAUUUUGGGCUAGAAUGAUACUUCUUGCCUUUAGAAAGAGAGAAAGGGUCCCUCCCAUAAAAUGCUCCUAAUAUUAGUCACUUCUGUACAGCUCUGUCUGCAGAAAAUACCCCAUCAAACUGUUCUGCCUUAACUCCUUGAAAGCUACAGGCAGCCCUGCUGGAGAGAGAUUGGGCUCAGAAUAUAGCUUUGGUCAAUAAAACUGUCUCUCAAGGAUUUCUUCUGGCA